CAGCACAAAUAGCAAAACAUGACUAAUGCUAAUGCUAACGAGAGCGAGACGUUUGCUUGAAAGAAAAGUGUUGUCAGUACUUUGGUUUUACGGCUACAGGCGUGGAACAAAUGACUGCACGGCACAAAAAGGUAUGCGCACAACAAACAACAGCAUCUGAGACUGAAGCCUCUGUGAUGGGACACAAGUAGGGGAUUUUAUUUUUUAUGUUUCGCUGCCAUGCAUGUCUUAGAGUGUUUUUAUUGUUGUGGAUUUUAAUUGCAUGUUUUUAAUUGUUGUGGAAUUUGAUUGUAUUUUUAGUUGCAUGUUUUUACAUUUUGCGGACUUUGAUUGUAUUUUUAAGACCUUGCCCCUUUUAGCUUGUUGCCCCUUGCAGCCAAGGUGCCCAAUCGAACGGCACCUGAAAUUAGACGCACCUGUGGAGCAUUAGGGCUGCAAAUUUAAAAGGAGAGAACAGGCAAGGAUCGAGGGAAGCGACAGGAGGAGGAAGCCAACGGAAGGAAGAGCGACCGGAGAGUAUCGACAGGCUUUGCCAAGAGCGUCCGGGUGGACGCCCGCAGGCUGGGAAGGAAUCCAGGACUAUGCAGCAGACCCCGCAAGCUACCGGAGUGAACCCCAAGAAGCCCACAACACACAGGGGCAGAGGAAACUCUGCCUCCGAAGAGCAGUCGGGACCCAGAGACCUGCGGUGACUCCCGGGAGCAACCAAGAGGCGGGGCGAGACGGGACGUGUACGGCCACAUAGGUCCCACCGGAGACUGGUGAGGAGAGUGGGCGUACUCAAUAUUUCUACGCGGAACUACAGCAGAGGCAGGGCUUGCGUGAGGACGCCGUGGAAGUGAGCGGAGCCAGGACACUGACCACGCCUGUCGUGGCUGUACCCUCACCAUAAUAUUGUUUACCAAUUGGUAUUUUUAGUGUUAUCAACUUUAC